rnacentral:misc_RNA from 1 species
CGUCUCCGCUCUUUGCCCCGCACCGCGUCGUCGCCACUUCCAAUAUUCCGCUUUUCUCGAGACAUCGACCAAUUGAUUCGGAAUGAGUUGCUGGCGGGAGAAAAGUCGACGCUACUUUCGACGGCGUACGGCGACGUAUACGGCGGGCGUUAGUGAUAAUACGAGUGCAUCUAAGGACACAUGCUGCAGCAGAAGGAAGGAAAGGGUCACUCCGGAAGCAGAGGGGAACGGGGCAACGGUGACACGUCGGCCGGCGUACGGCGACAUAUACGGCGGGUGUUAGUGAUAAUACGAGUGCACCCAAGGAUACAUGCUGCAGCAGAAGGAAGGAAAGAGUUACCCCAGAAGCAGAGGGGAACGGGACAACGGCGACACGUCAGCCGACGGCGUACGGCGACGUAUAUGGCGGGCGUUAGUGAUAAUACAAGUGCAUCUAAGGACACAUGCUGCAGCAGAAGGAAGGAAAGGGUCACUCCGGAAGUAGAGGGGAACGGGGCAACGGUGACACGUCGGCCGACGGCGUACGGCGACGUAUACGGCGGGUGUUAGUGAUAAUACGAGUGCACCCAAGGAUACAUGCUGCAGCAGAAGGAAGGAAAGGGUCACUCCGGAAGCAGAGGGGAACGGGACAACGGUGACACGUCGGCCGGUAAGUUACUUGUUGCAUUAUCACUGAUUGUCAUAUUUCGAUGACAAUAAUUCGAUCGAAUGUAGAUAACAAGGUGUUUGCUAUCGGAAAAAAAAACGGUAAAAUCUUGAAUUUUGAGACGUCUAUACAGAUGAUUAUUUUUCGCGACAGCUACUUUAGCAAUAAAAAAAAUCGACAUAAAUAUUUAGUACUCUAUUGUGGCUGUAUCACUUUUAUAGAAUAAUUUUUAGAGCAUUAAUUUUUUAUCCUUGAAAAUUAUUGAUUUUUUAU